CGAUGCUUCCAAGAAAAGCAUCUAGAGAGAGAAGUAGUGCCCGUACCGCAAACCGACACAGGUAGAUGAGGAGAGAAUCCUAAGGCCGGCGGAAGAAUUGCAGUUAAGGAACUAGGCAAAUUGACCCCGUAAGUUAGCGAGAAGGGGUGCCUGCGAGAGCAGGCCGCAGAGAAUAGGCCCAAGCAACUGUUUAGCAAAAACACAGGUCUCUGCUAAAGCGCAAGCUGAUGUAUAGGGGCUGACGCCUGCCCGGUGCUGGAAGGUUAAGGGGAACACUUAGCGCAAGCGAAGGUGUGAACUUAAGCCCCAGUAAACGGCGGCCGUAACUAUAACGGUCCUAAGGUAGCGAAAUUCCUUGUCAGGUAAGUUCUGACCCGCACGAAUGGCGUAAUGACUUGGGCACUGUCUCAACUGCAAAUCCGGCGAAGUUGUAGUGCGAGUGAAGAUGCUCGCUACCCGCGAUUGGACGGAAAGACCCCGUAGAGCUUUACUGUAGCUUAGCAUUGAAUUCCGGUAUUGUCUGUACAGGAUAGGUGGGAGACUGAGAAACUAGGGCGUCAGCCUUGGUGGAGUCGUCCUUGGGAUACCACCCUGACAGUACUGGGGUUCUAACAGGACGCCAUGAAUCUGGUGACUGGACAUUGUUAGGUGGGCAGUUUGACUGGGGCGGUCGCCUCCUAAAAAGUAACGGAGGCGCCCAAAGGUUCCCUCAGAACGGUCGGAAAUCGUUCGUAGAGUGCAAAGGCAGAAGGGAGCCUGACUGCGAGACCUACAAGUCGAGCAGGGACGAAAGACGGGCUUAGUGAUCCGGUGGUACCUCGUGGGAGGGCCAUCGCUCAACGGAUAAAAGCUACCUCGGGGAUAACAGGCUGAUCUCCCCCAAGAGUCCACAUCGACGGGGAGGUUUGGCACCUCGAUGUCGGCUCGUCGCAUCCUGGGGCUGUAGUAGGUCCCAAGGGUUGGGCUGUUCGCCCAUUAAAGCGGCACGCGAGCUGGGUUCAGAACGUCGUGAGACAGUUCGGUCCCUAUCCGUCGCGGGCGUAGGAAAUUUGAGAGGAGCUGUCCUUAGUACGAGAGGACCGGGAUGGACUGACCUCUGGUGCACCAGUUGUUCUGCCAAGAGCAUGGCUGGGUAGCUAAGUCGGGAAGGGAUAAACGCUGAAAGCAUCUAAGCGUGAAGCCUCCCUCAAGAUGAGAUUUCCCAUAGCAUAAGCUAGUAAGACCCCUUGAAGAACACGAGGUUGAUAGGUCAGAGGUGUAAGUGUGGUAACAUA
rnacentral:rRNA from 1 species